rnacentral:rRNA from 1 species
UACGUAGGGUGCAAGCGUUGUCCGGAUUUAUUGGGCGUAAAGAGCUCGUAGGCGGCCUGUCACGUCGGAUGUGAAAACCCGGGGCUUAACUCCGGGCCUGCAUUCGAUACGGGCAGACUAGAGUGUGGUAGGGGAGACUGGAACUCCUGGUGUAGCGGUGAAAUGCGCAGAUAUCAGGAAGAACACCGGUGGCGAAGGCGGGUCUCUGGGCCACUACUGACGCUGAGGAGCGAAAGCGUGGGGAGCAAACAGG